UUAAGUAAAGCCAAAAAGAGGCAUAUUAUUGUUAAUAAUAUAACUGAAUAUUUAACUUCUACUUAAA
rnacentral:tRNA from 1 species